CCUACGGGGGGCUGCAGUGAGGAAUAUUGCUCAAUGGACGAAAGUCUGAAGCAGCAACGCCGCGUGAGGGAUGAAGGUGCUCUGCAUUGUAAACCUCUGUAGUCGGGGACAAAAAACAGGUUACUACCUGUCUGAUGGUACCCGAAAAGUAAGGAUCGGCUAACUACGUGCCAGCAGCCGCGGUAAUACGUAGGAUCCAAGCGUUGUCCGGAUUUACUGGGUGUAAAGGGUGCGCAGGCGGACUUGUUAGUCAGAGGUGAAAUCUCACUGCUCAA
rnacentral:rRNA from 1 species